GAUGAACGCUGGCGGCGUGCCUAAUACAUGCAAGUCGAGCGAAUGGAUUGAGAGCUUGCUCUUAUGAAGUUAGCGGCGGACGGGUGAGUAACACGUGGGUAACCUGCCCAUAAGACUGGGAUAACUCCGGGAAACCGGGGCUAAUACCGGAUAACAUUUUGAACCGCAUGGUUCGAAAUUGAAAGGCGGCUUCGGCUGUCACUUAUGGAUGGACCCGCGUCGCAUUAGCUAGUUGGUGAGGUAACGGCUCACCAAGGCAACGAUGCGUAGCCGACCUGAGAGGGUGCUCGGCCACGCUGGGACUGAGAAACGGCCCAGACUCCUACGGGGGGCAGCAGUAGGGAAUCUUCCGCAAUGGACGAAAGUCUGACGGAGCAACGCCGCGUGAGUGAUGAAGGCUUUCGGGUCGUAAAACUCUGUUGUUAGGGAAGAACAAGUGCUAGUUGAAUAAGCUGGCACCUUGACGGUACCUAACCAGAAAGCCACGGCUAACUACGUGCAGCCGCCGCUGUAA
rnacentral:rRNA from 1 species